rnacentral:rRNA from 1 species
GGCAGCAAUACUUUAAUGAGAGUGGCGCACGGGUGCGUAACACGUAUGCAACCUACCUUUAACUGGAAGAUAGCCCCGGGAAAUCGGGAUUAAUAUUUCAUAACAAUGCGCGAUGGCAUCAUCAUGCAUUUAAAGCUCCGGCGGUUAAAGAUGGGCAUGCGGGACAUUAGCUUGUUGGUGAGGUAACGGCUCACCAAGGCUAUGAUGUCUAGGGGUCCUGAGAGGGUUAUCCCCACACUGGUACUGAGACACGGACCAGACUCCUACGGGAGGCAGCAGUAAGGAAUAUUGGUCAAUGGGCGCAAGCCUGAACCAGCCAUGCCGCGUGCAGGAAGACGGCCCUAUGGGUUGUAAACUGCUUUUGUCAGGGAAUAAACCCCCGUACGUGUACGGGGCUGAAGGUACCUGAAGAAUAAGCAUCGGCUAACUCCGUGCCAGCAGCCGCGGUAAUACGGAGGAUGCAAGCGUUAUCCGGAUUCAUUGGGUUUAAAGGGUGCGCAGGCGGAUUGGUAAGUCAGGGGUGAAAUCCCACAGCUCAACUGUGGAACUGCCUUUGAUACUGUCAGUCUUGAGUAUAGUUGAAGUGGGCGGAAUGUGUCAUGUAGCGGUGAAAUGCUUAGAUAUGACACAGAACACCGAUCGCGAAGGCAGCUCGCUAAACUAUAACUGACGCUCAUGCACGAAAGCGUGGGGAUCAAACAGGAUUAGAUACCCUGGUAGUCCACGCCGUAAACGAUGAUUACUCGAUGUUGGCGAUACA